rnacentral:rRNA from 1 species
GACGAACGCUGGCGGCGUGCUUAACACAUGCAAGUCGAACGGAAAGGCCCUGCUUUUGUGGGGUGCUCGAGUGGCGAACGGGUGAGUAACACGUGAGUAACCUGCCCUUGACUUUGGGAUAACUUCAGGAAACUGGGGCUAAUACCGGAUAGGAGCUCCUGCUGCAUGGUGGGGGUUGGAAAGUUUCGGCGGUUGGGGAUGGACUCGCGGCUUAUCAGCUUGUUGGUGGGGUAGUGGCUUACCAAGGCUUUGACGGGUAGCCGGCCUGAGAGGGUGACCGGCAACAUUGGGACUGAGAUACGGCCCAGACUCCUACGGGAGGCAGCAGUGGGGAAUAUUGCACAAUGGGCGGAAGCCUGAUGCAGCAACGACGCGUGCGGGAUGACGGCCUUCGGGUUGUAAACCGCUUUCGCCUGUGACGAAGCGUGAGUGACGGUAAUGGGUAAAGAAGCACCGGCUAACUACGUG